GCAGACGGGUGAGUAACGCGUGGGAAUCUACCCAUCUCUACGGAACAACUCCGGGAAACUGGAGCUAAUACCGUAUACGUCCUUUUGGAGAAAGAUUUAUCGGAGAUGGAUGAGCCCGCGUUGGAUUAGCUAGUUGGUGGGGUAAUGGCCUACCAAGGCGACGAUCCAUAGCUGGUCUGAGAGGAUGAUCAGCCACACUGGGACUGAGACACGGCCCAGACUCCUACGGGAGGCAGCAGUGGGGAAUAUUGGACAAUGGGCGAAAGCCUGAUCCAGCCAUGCCGCGUGAGUGAUGAAGGCCCUAGGGUUGUAAAGCUCUUUCAACGGUGAAGAUAAUGACGGUAACCGUAGAAGAAGCCCCGGCUAACUUCGUGCCAGCAGCCGCGGUAAUACGAAGGGGGCUAGCGUUGUUCGGAAUUACUGGGCGUAAAGCGCACGUAGGCGGAUACUUAAAGUCAGGGUGAAAUCCCGGGGCUCAACCCCAGAACUGCCUUUGAUACUGGGUAUCUGGAGUCCCGGAA
rnacentral:rRNA from 1 species